rnacentral:rRNA from 1 species
AUACGGAGGAUCCGAGCGUUAUCCGGAUUUAUUGGGUUUAAAGGGAGCGUAGGCGGACGCUUAAGUCAGUUGUGAAAGUUUGCGGCUCAACCGUAAAAUUGCAGUUGAUACUGGGUGUCUUGAGUACAGUAGAGGCAGGCGGAAUUCGUGGUGUAGCGGUGAAAUGCUUAGAUAUCAAGAAGAACUCCGAUUGCGAAGGCAGCCUGCUGGACUGUAACUGACGCUGAUGCUCGAAAGUGUGGGUAUCAAACAGGAUUAUAUACCCUGGUAGUCCACACAGUAAACGAUGAAUACUCGCUGUUUGCGAUAUACAGUAAGCGGCCAAGCGAAAGCGUUAAGUAUUCCACCUGGGGAGUACGCCGGCAACGGUGAAACUUAAAGGAAUUGACGGG